rnacentral:rRNA from 1 species
GCCUGACUGUAAACUCUAGCCAAAAAAGUACAAGCCCACGCUUCAAACUUUAAGGACCUGGCGGUACUCUAUAUCAACCUAGAGGGGCCUGCCCAAUAACCGAUAAUCCACGAAAAACCUUACCAUCUCUAGCCUUCAGCCUAUAUACCGCCGUCUUCAGCACAUUUCACAAAAAAUGAAGCCCAACAGUUCCAACACUAGCACGUCAGGUCAAGGUGUAGCCAAUGAGAUGGAAAAGCGCGGACCACAUUAAGAUAACACACAGAAACCCUGCUGAAACACAGGGUAAAAGACGAAUUUAGCAGUAAGCGGACUCGAAUACCCCCCUGAACUAAGACACGCCCUAGAGUACGC